rnacentral:rRNA from 1 species
UACGUAGGGGGCGAGCGUUGUUCGGAUUUACUGGGCGUAAAGGGCGCGUAGGCGGCCAGCGCAAGUCAGUUGUGAAAUCUCCGAGCUUAACUCGGAAAGGUCAACUGAUACUGCGCGGCUAGAGUGCGGAAGGGGCAACUGGAAUUCUCGGUGUAGCGGUGAAAUGCGUAGAUAUCGAGAGGAACACCUGCGGCGAAGGCGGGUUGCUGGGCCGACACUGACGCUGAGGCGCGAAAGCCAGGGGAGCGAACGGG